CUGAAAAGGGGGCAAUGGGAAUACAAAGCAGGUCAGAAAAUCACACACACACAGUAUAUAAAGGUGAGCCUCUGAGUACUGGAGCAUAAUCAGGGCUUUGAUACCAAUGUGUGAUAGUUGUAACUAAUUUGACAGAAGAGGGCUCGCCAGAGGCAAAUUAUUCCAGUGAGAAAUUCCCUUCUGCUACCUAGAGACUUGUUUCGCUUUUUUAAAAUAUAAAAUUGCAAAUGUUUAUUUUAAAAUAGGUGAUUGAAACUGUUGUCUCAGCACUUUCCCCAAACUUCCUUACCUGUAAUGCAGAGCUAAGCAAAUGGCAAAAUUGUCCUAUUUUAAAGGGCAAAGCUUUUAAGACAGACUGGGGUUGGGGGUUGUCAUAUACCCACAGAGCUAUGCAUCAAGAAAACAGGCAGGAGUGGUGUCUUGCAGCAGAUCAAUAGCCUUAGAUGUUUUGCUUCCACAAAAACCACAGGUUCAGAUCCUGGCGUAUCCAGCUUCCAGAAGCCCAGACGAGACACAGAUGGGUUGUAGGCAAAUUCAGAAGCUUUAUGGCCAAAGAGGAUGUCAGCAGUGAUAGUACUCUAAGGAACUGAGCAAUUAUGAACAUGCAGAUUGAUUUAUAGCACUUUGACAGCUAUUCAGGACUACUGUACUUGUUUCUGAUUGGUCCAAAAUGUGGUUGGUCUGGACUCUGUCCGGCAUCAUUGCUGGUUGGUCCUGGCCAUGGCAGGAAACGUCAAUAAACUGUCAUUGGAUUAUUUUGAAGAUUUGUGUUUUUUUAUUGAAUCACCCAGGAGAAGAAGGGCGCGAU